GGUCAGAUAGCUUAAUUGGUAGAGCAACCCAGGCCAAUAUCAUAUGAUCAUUAUCAUUAUAUGGCUCAUGGGUGGAUUCGGGUUCGAAUCCCAUCUGACCU
rnacentral:tRNA from 1 species